rnacentral:rRNA from 1 species
UGCGGAAGGAUCAUUACAGUAUUCUUUUGCCAGCGCUUAAUUGCGCGGCGAAAAACCUUACACACUAUGUUUUUUUAAUUUGAAACUAUUGCUUUGGUCUGGCUUAGAAAUAGGUUGGGCCAAAGGUUUUAUCAAAACUUCAAUAUUUAUUAUUGAAUUGUUAUUUUUAAUUUUAUGUCAAUUUGUUGAUUAAUAUCAAAAAUCUUCAAAACUUUCAACAACGGAUCUCUUGGUUCUCGCAUCGAUGAAGAACGCAGCGAAAUGCGAUAAGUAAUAUGAAUUGCAGAUUUUCGUGAAUCAUCGAAUCUUUGAACGCACAUUGCGCCCUUUGGUAUUCCAAAGGGCAUGCCUGUUUGAGCGUCAUUUCUCUCUCAAAUCUUCGGAUUUGGUUUUGAGUGAUACUCUUAGUCAGACUAAGCGUUUGCUUGAAAUGUAUUGGCAUGAGUGGUACUAGAUAGUGCUGAACUGUUUUCAAUGUAUUAGGUUUAUCCAACUCAUUGACCAGUAAAGUAUUUGUUUAUUACACAGGCUCGGCCUUACAACAACAAACAAAGUUUGACCUCAAAUCAGGUAGGACUACCCGCUGAACUUAAGCAUA